rnacentral:rRNA from 1 species
UGGGGAAUUUUGCACAAUGGGGGAAACCCUGAUGCAGCGACGCCGCGUGAUUUAGAAGGCCUUCGGGUUGUAAAAAUCUUUUCUAUGGGAAGAAAAUGACAGUACCAUAGGAAUAAGGACCGGCUAAUUACGUGCCAGCAGCCGCGGUAAUACGUAAGGUCCGAGCGUUGUCCGGAAUCAUUGGGCGUAAAGGGUACGUAGGCGGGUAAGCAAGUUAGAAGUGAAAUCCUAUAGCUCAACUAUAGUAAGCUUUUAAAACUGCUCAUCUUGAGGUAUGGAAGGGAAAGUGGAAUUCCUAGUGUAGCGGUGAAAUGCGCAGAUAUUAGGAGGAAUACCGUUGGCGAAGGCGACUUUCUGGCCAUAACCUGACGCUGAGGUACGAAAGCGUGGGUAGCAAACAGG